rnacentral:rRNA from 1 species
UACGUAGGUGGCAAGCGUUAUCUGGAAUUAUUGGGCGUAAAGCGCGCGUAGGCGGUUUCUUAAGUCUGAUGUGAAAGCCCCCGGCUCAACCGGGGAGGGUCAUUGGAAACUGGGGGACUUGAGUGCAGAAGAGGAGAGUGGAAUUCCAUGUGUAGCGGUGAAAUGCGUAGAUAUAUGGAGGAACACCAGUGGCGAAGGCGACUCUCUGGUCUGUAACUGACGCUGAGGCUCGAAAGCGUGGGGAGCAAACAGGAUUAGAUACCCGGGUA